CACCGUUCACUCCGGAACAGAGACUGAGAUGCAGCUGCCUAAGAAACGCUCUGGGCUGGAAUACUUCAUCUGGACAACAGAUGCAUCAGCUACACUAAGGCCCGAUCCGAGACUUCUGAUGCAUAAAGCAUGCAACUUCGCGCACGGAUGUACUUUCCAUUUGAAGUACUGCUAGAGAUUUGUGCCCUCAAACACGGGAAUUUUGCAGGUCUUAAAAUUGGCCAAGAAGGUGUUUUUUCUUUUCUUUGCCACAGGAUCAUGGUUUUUUCCAUUGUUAUUAAAGAUUCAGUUGCCUCACCUGAGCCACAAUAGAUGCGGUAGAAACGGGACACCUCAGAGAUUUGAUUUUGUCACGCUCUGAAAUUCAUAGUAAAUCUCAUCAUGCCACUCCAAUCUCUACCCCCAAAUCCCUGUCCAAAGUCCACAAUCCUUGGUGUGACAUGACUCAUUCAUUCAUUUAACAUUUCCUGAGUAUCUAAUGUGUGCAGACUUGCUCUGAUGGGCUCUGGAUUCACAGAAGUGAAAGGACAGACGCAAUUCCUGCCCACAGGCGAGAAGGACAGUGACACAAAUGUGUCAAUGAUCGCAUUUGGGAUUGUUGAGGUCAUGGAAUCCAGAGUGACUGAGGAGCUGUGGCAGGAGGAGCUGACUGAGUUAGGACCAGGGGUUUGUGAGGCUGGAGUCCGUGAAUGCGAAGAAAGGACUUCUUGGGAAUAGGAAAUGGUGGGGAGGAGGAAUUACAUUUUCUACUAACUUCAAACUGAAAUUUAGCAUUUUCUUUAAUUAGGAAUGUGGGCAAUAAACCAUGUGGUCUAGGAGCACCGGUAUUUUGACACCAGUGGAAACUACAGAUAUUUUCAUAUUACAUGGCAGUUGUUGACAAUACCUUGAAAUAUUUACACAUUUCACCACUGAGACACCAUGGUACUUGGAGCCCCUUUGCUAGAUCUUGUUAUUUAAUGUGUUAAUAGAUGACAUCUAUUACUAUUUUUUUAAUGUUGUGAUUACUGUAUUUCAAUGUCAUUGGUUGCCUUUGUCAUCCUGUGUAUUUAAUUUAUGCAUUUAAAAACAUGACUCUGAAAAGAGACUCAUAAACCUCACAGAGUUGCACAAGGGGUUGAUGGCCCAAAAAAGAAAGAGAAGCCCUGAGCCCAGCCCUUGCCUUGUGGCUGCCACUGGCCCCCAGCCUGGGAAUCUGCUGUGGCCUCUGGGCCUCGCACAUGC
rnacentral:lncRNA from 1 species